rnacentral:lncRNA from 1 species
GGGGAACAAAGCGCCAUUAGAUGAGCAAUGAGGACUGAGGUGGAGGAAUGUGAGUUGAGUAUUGAGAAUUCUUCAUAGAACUUUGGUUACAAUGGAGAGAAUAUAUGUAAAGAGAACCGUAACUGUGGAUGUAGAGAGGGGUCCAGGGUAUUAAAUUAUGUUUUAAAAUUAUCAAUGAUAAGAGACCCUUUCAGGUUGAAUAUUAAGAGGAAGGGGCCAUCUCUUUUUAGAUCUACAAACUGAAUUCACCACGCCCCUAUUUCCACACUUUACUUCCUUGUUUCUAUUCUGGGGAAGCCUAAAACUUCACAAAAGGGAUCGUGUAGAGUUUGGCCUUAAUGUCUAUUAACUGCAAGGAUGGAUGGAUGGAUGGAUGGAUGGAUGGAUGGAUGGAUGGAUGGAUGCAAGAUGUGUCAAACAGCUGCUGGUAAUUUAUGGUAUUUUAUCUCUCAGGACAGAGUUCUCACACAAGUGACUGAAUCUGUGGCAUUGGUGGCUGAGAGCAGGCAAUUUUUCAGGUCUCUGCAAGAUGGGAGCACCCAGCUUCAGUGUUCAGAAGCAGAUUUAGGCCGACUUCCGUACCUUACAUCCUGGAGGGAUCCACCCUGACUUGAGCAGAAGGCAUCACACACAUUCCCAAGCAGCAUUGUUCCCAUGAGAAACUGAAAACGUAUUUCUUUGAAUCUAGAAUGCAUCUUCCCUCUUCCAGGUGUAACCAUUCAGAGUUUUUCCUGGAGCGAUUCCAGCUUGUUUCCUUUUGGUGCCUUCCUUAAGAAAUUUUGCAGCUGUUUCUGGUGCAGUUUUUGGGUGGGCUCUGGGGUGGGCAGACGAUCUUCACUUUGCAGAGGCUGCUCCUUUUGUGAGUGGAGCUGGUGGUGAGGGAGUAGGAGAGGCCUCGCAUCAUCCUGGCAUUCAGGCCCUUAGCCAUGGAGAAGGACUUGAGGUGGCUUCUUAAGGCAAUGGGGAGCGGGAGCUUGUCCACCAGAUGCACAGGUGUGCAGGACACGAUGGUGCGGCAGCAGAGGUCUUGCAAGCUCAGUACCUUGCUCGGCCUCCCGAGCCAGUUCAACCUGUGCCGCAGCAGCACUAUCCUGGCCAGCUCCGUGAAAGACUCUAUGAUGUUGAAAUUGCACAGAGGGCUGACCUCAAAGAAGG